rnacentral:siRNA from 1 species
AAAGUCUACAUCUUCUAGAGACGA